AGAUAUAAUUGUAACAAUAGUAACUGAAAUAAUACAAACUGAUAAAUAUGUCAGAUUUUUUCCAAAGUCAGCUGGCUCGCUAUUAAGGAAGAUGAUACUUUGCUUGUUUUUAGAGUUCCGUUCUAUAUUAAGGUAUAUUUCGGAAUAAGGAAGGAAUUCAUUUUUUCUUAAGUAAAGUUGAUUACAUAAAUAAUCAGAACUUGAUGAAUGCACGAUUAAAGCGGUAUUAGAGUUGGAAUUAUUAUCAGGGAAUUUAAUGAAUCCGCACUGACAAAUUCCAUUCGUGUGUUUAUUUUUAAUGUUUGCAAUACAAGUAUGAAUAAUAAAGUUUGGGUUGGAAUUUGAUUUGGAAGCUAUAUUAAUGGAUGAAUUCUUGUAUUUGAAAUUCACCUUAAAUCCACGACUAGAUCUUGAUUCAACGGAAUCGUUAAAAACAAACCCUCUAACAAACUUGAAUUCAUCUUUUCCAUUUUCUUUUUUUUGCUUACCCAACGAUAUAAGCAAUUGUUGUGUAUUGCAUUCAUUUUCCAUGCUGACAGUAGAGUUCAAUUCCUUAAAAUUAGAAGUUCUGUAUCUAAAGCCGGCAGAAUACUCGCCAAAUUUGGUUUUUCCAGGAUCAAAUUUGGAAUCUUGUUUACAGUUAGAUGAAAGCAACUCCCAAGUAAAGAUUGUGUGACAUUCAGAAGUUCCCUUGGAAUUAUUUUUGUGAGUCUCAUCAGUAGUAUUGGAACAAAUAGAUGAUAAUCCACUGUUGAAUAAUGAAAAUUCAAGUUUUCCAUGAUUAACUUCAGAGUGCAUUUGUAAGUGUAAGCUAGCAGAAAUACUGAGCUCAAUAGUGGACUUUGAGGCCACAGCAAGAAUUUGGGGAUAAUAUUUUUUUGCAAUUGGGAAAAUUUCACUCUGAGGGGGAUAAAAUCCAAAAUAUUCAGAGCCAAUUUCUGGAGAUAAUGAAAUUAUAUUGUGAGCUGCAAGUAAAUAGUCAUCUGCUUCUCCCGAAGCCUCAUAAUCCAUUGUGGGGUUUCUAGCUGCUGAUGAGAAACAAUAAUUGGAAGCAUUUUCAAAUUCAUUUCUUGAUUUUGUGAAAAAUGUUGAAUCAAAUCCUUUUUUGGCAGAAUUGACAAAAAAUGGGCCCUUCAUAUGCAUUAAGGUUUUAAUUAUACAAGAAGGAGAAGAUAUUAAAAUUUCAUACUUAAGUUCAUUAUAUAUGGAAGCGAUAUUCUCGUUUAGAUCUUUGUCCUUGCAACAAUUCCAAGGUAUAGUCCACAAAUCACCAAAUGUAUGCAGAUUAACUGCAGUAACAAAACUUUUUACAUUAUUUACAAGAUCUCUUACAGCUCGUGUUUCGGGUUCAGAAAAAGGAUAUUCCCCAGAAUACUCUUGCGGGUCACAUUUAGAAACAAGAGAGUUUUCAAAAUUGAAGUCAUAAUUACGAUUAAUAUCAACUCCAUCUUCAUCUGAUCUCCCAGAAUUACAAGUUUUCCUUUGAUUCUUUCUAAUCCCAUAAUUUCGUGUUCUUUCUAUUGCUGCAUAUCCAUCUGGAUUUACAAAUGGGACAUACCAAAUAUCGAUAUUAGAGAGUAAAAAGUUAGAAGCAGGGUCUUGCUUAUAAAUUGCAUCUUCCAUGAGUUUAGUGAUAAAGUAUAUUCCAGUUGUUAAGCCUGCAGGCUCUCUUGAAUGAUGCAUUGAUGUUAGUAAAAAUGCAGGUUUUUUACCCUGAUUAAUAUAAAAGUACGAGUCUUCUGAAUAAGAGCCAUCCAUCUUACUAAAAAAUCCGACUCUAUAAGCAUCAAUAGGCCUUCCUUCAAAACUUGUCCCUAUUUUAUGCUUCCUUAUAAAGUUUGUUCCGAAUUGUGAUGCUAAAUUAUCCAAAAUGAUCAUUGCUUCGUUCAAUUUUGGGAAACUUCUCAAUGAACCCCUAUUCAAAGAAUACAAAAUUCUUCUAAGAUCUUGGUUUUCAACACCAUAAUCCAUAUCUGGGAUUCCUAAUUCUAAAUAAUCAUCAGGGAUUGUUGAAAUUUGUUCUCUUGAAUAUUGUAGCUUCCUCUCUGGUCUUUCUACAUAUCCAAAAA
rnacentral:antisense_RNA from 1 species